UACGUAGGGCGCAAGCGUUGUCCGGAAUUAUUGGGCGUAAAGAGCUCGUAGGCGGUCUGUUGCGUCUGCCGUGAAAACCCGAGGCUUAACCUCGGGCCUGCGGUGGAUACGGGCAGACUAGAGGUAGGUAGGGGAGAACGGAAUUCCCGGUGUAGCGGUGAAAUGCGCAGAUAUCGGGAGGAACACCGGUGGCGAAGGCGGUUCUCUGGGCCUUACCUGACGCUGAGGAGCGAAAGCGUGGGGAGCGAACAGG
rnacentral:rRNA from 1 species